rnacentral:rRNA from 1 species
UACGAAGGGGGCUAGCGUUGCUCGGAAUUACUGGGCGUAAAGCGCACGUAGGCGGUUUGUUAAGUCAGGGGUGAAAUCCUGGAGCUCAACUCCAGAACUGCCUUUGAUACUGGCGAUCUUGAGGCCGGGAGAGGUGAGUGGAACUGCGAGUGUAGAGGUGAAAUUCGUAGAUAUUCGCAAGAACACCGGUGGCGAAGGCGGCCUGCUGGGCAGUUGCUGACACUGAGGCGCGACAGCGUGGGGAGCAAACAGG